AACAAACGCUGGCGGCGUGCCCAAUACAUGCAAGUCGAACGGGGAAAGCUUUCGGGUGAGUACUAGUGGCGCACGGGUGAGGAACGCGUGGAUAAUCUGCCUUAGAGUGGGGGAUAACUAGUCGAAAGAUUAGCUAAUACCGCAUAAGACCACGAGAGCUGCGGCUUUUGAGGUCAAAGGUUUUUCGCUCUAAGAUGAGUCCGCGUAAGAUUAGCUAGUUGGUGAGGUAACGGCUCACCAAGGCGACGAUCUUUAACUGGUCUGAGAGGAUGAUCAGUCACACUGGAACUGAGACACGGUCCAGACUCCUACGGGAGGAAGCAGUAGGGAAUAUUGCACAAUGGAGGAAACUCUGAUGCAGCGACGCCGCGUGAGUGAUGAAGGCCUUCGGGUCGUAAAGCUCUGUCGCAGGGGAAUAACACAAUGAAGGUACCCUGUAAGAAAGGAUCGGCUAACUUCGUG
rnacentral:rRNA from 1 species